GGAAGAAUGUUGUGGCAUCAAUGUUUGAUUUGUAAAGAUGAUUUUUCAGUCAAUAGCCAAUAGUACCAUCUGUACUGAGAUUAGAUUAUACUAUUGGCUAUUGACUGAAAAAUCAUCUUUACAAAUCAAAUAUUGAUGCCACAACAUUCUUACUG
rnacentral:miRNA from 1 species